CCCAACCUUGAGCAAAAGCGAACAUGGAUCAGAAGAAGAACGCUUCAAUGGAUCCAACACCCAUAGAAAGAUUUGAUUAGUUAUCUUGAAAAUGGAUCAAACAGAGUCCAAAUUUUUCAGUAGUAACUAGAUGGCAUGUUGGUUCUUGGUUGUUUUCAAUCGAUUCAACAGGGGUAGUAGCUUCAAGCGUCGCAAGAACUCUGAUCAAUUAUCCUGGAGUCCCAGAGCUCAAACGGUCAAGAAAUCUUUCACCAUGGAUCCAUCAGAAGUUGUAUAUGAGCUGAUCUAGCUGUAAUGGAAGUUGCAAAGAAUGGCAGGCUGCAUUUUCUUCUAUGAGAAUAACCUGAUGAUUGCUUUCUGGCCUUCGGUUGAAGGCAUCGUGAGCAUCUGGGAUCAAGCCGAUAUCAUGAAGGAUUAAUGCUACCCGAGGGAUGAACUAACGUUUACAUACAUCUAUGGCACUAUCAAUCGACAAAGAAAGGUGCCUGCUAACAAAGGAAGUUGCACCACGAGGCCGUGGCUUGAACACGUUCGACAUUUUUGUCAUACAAGUUAGAUUUCUAUCAAAUACUUACUUUCUUAACUAAAUUUAUAAAUCGAAAAGCUUUUAAAAGAAAAUCUUCAUCCGUAAAAUCUAGAUGUCUUUUUGUGCACUUGCUUUCAUUCCGAGCCUAACGAAAGUUGUGCCUUCCAUGUUAAUAUGCAUCUUCUUCGUUUAUGAAUAUAUAUGUAC